AUUGAACGCUGGCGGCACGCUUAACACAUGCAAGUCGAACGGCAGCACGAGGAGCUUGCUCCUUGGUGGCGAGUGGCGGACGGGUGAGUAAUGCGUAGGAAUCUGCCUAGAAGACUGGGAUAGCCUGUGGAAACGCAGGAUAAUACCGGAUGUGAUCUACGGAUUAAAGGGGGGUGCUUGCAUCUCUCACUUCUAGAUGAGCCUACGUUGGAUUAGCUUGUUGGUAGGUAAAGGCCUACCAAGGCGACGAUCUAUAGCUGUUCUGAGAGGAAGAUCAGCCACACUGGGACUGAGACACGGCCCAGACUCCUACGGGAGGCAGCAGUGGGGAAUAUUGGACAAUGGGGCAACCUGAUCCAGCGAUGCCGCGUGUGUGAAGAAGGCCUGCGGGUUUG
rnacentral:rRNA from 1 species